rnacentral:rRNA from 1 species
UACGAAGGGGGCUAGCGUUGUUCGGAAUUACUGGGCGUAAGGCGCACGUAGGCGGAUUUGUAAGUCAGGGGUGAAAUCCCGGGGCUCAACCUCGGAACUGCCUUUGAUACUGCAAGUCUCGAGUCCGAUAGAGGUGAGUGGAAUUCCUAGUGUAGAGGUGAAAUUCGUAGAUAUUAGGAAGAACACCAGUGGCGAAGGCGGCUCACUGGAUCGGUACUGACGCUGAGGUGCGAAAGCGUGGGGAGCAAACAGG